CCUACGGGAGGCAGCAGUGGGGAAUAUUGCACAAUGGGGGAAACCCUGAUGCAGCGACGCCGCGUGAGUGAAGAAGUAUCUCGGUACGUAAAGCUCUAUCAGCAGGGAAGAAAAUGACGGUACCUGACUAAGAAGCCCCGGCUAACUACGUGCCAGCAGCCGCGGUAAUACGUAGGGGGCAAGCGUUAUCCGGAUUUACUGGGGGGAAAGGGAGCGUAGACGGGAGCACAAGUCUGGAGUGAAAUCCCGGGGUUUAAACCCGGAACUGCUUUGGAAACUGUGCGGCUGGAGUGCAGGAGGGGUAAGCGGAAUUCCGAGUGUAGCGGUGAAAUGCGUAGAUAUUAGGAGGAACACCGGUGGCGAAGGCGGCUGACUGGACUGUAACUGACGUUGAGGCUCGAAAGCGUGGGGAGCAAACAGGAUUAGAUACCCCUGUAGUC
rnacentral:rRNA from 1 species